rnacentral:rRNA from 1 species
GAUGAACGCUGGCGGCGUGCCUAAUACAUGCAAGUCGAGCGAACAGACGAGGAGCCUGCUCCUCUGACGUUAGCGGCGGACGGGUGAGUAACACGUGGAUAACCUACCUAUAAGACUGGGAUAACUUCGGGAAACCGGAGCUAAUACCGGAUAAUAUAUUGAACCGCAUGGUUCAAUAGUGAAAGACGGUUUUGCUGUCACUUAUAGAUGGAUCCGCGCCGCAUUAGCUAGUUGGUAAGGUAACGGCUUACCAAGGCAACGAUGCGUAGCCGACCUGAGAGGGUGAUCGGCCACACUGGAACUGAGACACGGUCCAGACUCCUACGGGAGGCAGCAGUAGGGAAUCUUCCGCAAUAGGCGAAAGCUUGACGGAGCAACGCCGCGUGAGUGAUGAAGGUCUUCGGAUCGUAAAACUCUGUUAUUAGGGAAGAACAAAUGUGUAAGUAACUAUGCACGUCUUGACGGUACCUAAUCAGAAAGCCACGGCUAACUACGUG